CGCAUCACCAAUGAAAAAAUUCGUGAUCACGCUACUGCCAUCAGGUCAAGAAUCAUUGAAAAGGUAAAGGAAGCAAAAUAUUUCUUAGUUAUUCUUGAUUGUACUCCUGAUGCAAGCCACCAGGAACAAAUGUCAUUGAUAAUUAGGUAUGUAGAUACAUCUUCUGCUUCUGUUUGCAUCGAAGAAUCUUUCUUAGGCUUUUUGGAGGUGAAUGAUACCACUGGGCAAGGUUUGUUUAAUGUUUUAGAAGAGGAGUUGAAUAAUCUUUGCCUUGAUGUGGACAAUGUGAGAGGACAGGGUUAUGAUAAUGGGUCAACUAUGAAAGGAAACAAUAAAGGGGUACACAAGAAAUUUCUGGAAAAGAAUCCAAGGGCAUUUUAUUCAGCUUGUGGUUGUCAUAGUCUAAAUCUGGCACUAUGCGAUAUGGCGAAGUCUUGCCGAAAAGCAACAGACUUCUUUGGAAUUAUACAACGCAUCUAUACGAUAUUUGCUAAUUCGACUAAACGAUGGCAAAUUCUCAAAGAUAACUUAAAGAAGUUGACUGUCAAGUCAUUGUCAUCUACUCGUUGGGAGAGUCAUGUUGAGAGUGUUAAGGCUAUACGGAUUCAAAUGCCAGAAAUAAGGGAGGCUUUACUACAAGUGGCUGAAACUGAUAAGGAUCCAUUGGCAAGUAGUGAAGCACAAUCAUUGGCAGAAAAUGAACUUGGUGGUUUUGAAUUUUUAGUGUCAAUAAUUAUCUAG
rnacentral:rRNA from 1 species